AUCGGGCGAAAAGUGCCUGAUGAAACUAGUUGUGUUUGUCAUAUUGUCUCUAGUAUCUCAGCAAUUGGAAAAAUAGUCGUACUGAAUGCAUGCUUAUAUCGAUGAAUAAGCAAUUUUACCAUUAGUUAGCCAAAAAAAUUGUUGGUAUUAUUAUGCCGUUUCCUGUCUCUCAAAAAUAUAUGAGAAGCUUAGCUAAGCCAGAGCAAUGGGAAUUGAUAUACCACGAAUUAAAGGAGUAUUUAUACACACUUGUAUAUCAGUGCUCAAUUUUCGAACAAUUUCAUCGUAGUUGCGUGAACAAUGCAAAUUAAGAGGUUAUGCAUUCUUGCAACAAGUUGUAUUUUACACUACAAGUAAUAGGAACGUAGAUUCUGAA